AAUGCAUACAUUAGCCCCGCUCUACAGUCCAAUAUCAAAGCAUCGUUUAGUAAGCCCAGACUUUGAGUUGCCCAAAAGCAAAACUGCUGAUACUUUUUGUUGUCUUUUGUAGGUUGACUGAAGGAAUGUCCAAUGCCCAAAAGGAUAGACCUCAGCAUCCUGGUUUUGAGACACCACUCAUGGUUGUGGGAAAAUCUACAGCUGAGGAAGUUGGCCAACUGGUUCUGGGUGCCCAGUAGGGUGAGUUCCAGAUGACUGAAAAGACUAAUGGUAAACCUGAUGAGGCCACGAAUCUGGUCCUGGGAUGGCCGUCGAAUCAGCCAAUGAUUGAGAAGCUAUCACCCUUGAGGGAGCAUCUGUGACUGGAGCGAGGUCUUUGCAACCAACCAACCUUUUGCUACGAAAGCCCUGAACUCCUCUUUUGAGUAGUCUGGCAAUUUAUCUGAGCAUUUAGACAUUGCC